rnacentral:lncRNA from 1 species
AAAAAAAAAAAUCAGAUAAUAGAAACAGACCCUGACUCAACAUAGAUGAAAGAAUUAAUAGAUGAAGAUGUUAACUGUUAUUAUAAAUGUAUUCCAUACAUUCAAGAAGGUAUGGAAGAAGGUAGAUGAAAAUCACGAACUUGUGAAGAUGUAAAAAUGACUUGUGAAGAUGUAAAAAUGACCCAAAUUGAAUUUCUAAAGAUGGAAAUGCAUUGUCUCAGAUGAAAAAUAUUCAGGAUAGGAUUAAAAACAUAUUAGACACUGAAGAGGCAAUUGUAACUUGAAGACAUAGAAAUAACUGUUUCGAAUAAAGAUUUUUAAAAAAGACUAAAAAAAUAAGUAAUGGGGUAUCAAUUAGUUUUGUAAGGCUACCUAAAGAGGCUAACAUAUAUGUAAUGAUGUCUCAGAAUGAGGGAGCCUGGGCAAAAAAAAAACAUUUUAAAAAUAAUGACCAAAAUGACCAAAAUUUUUCCAAAUUUCAUGGGAAUUAUAAAUCUCUCUCAUUAAACCCAGAGAGAUAUGAAGAAAAUAACACAAAGACACAUUUUAAUAAUAUUCCUUAAAACUGAUGACCAAUCUCAUCAGUAGCCCAGGGAUGAAGGAUGGGGAAAAUGUUAUCUACAGAGGAACAAAAGAUAAAAGACAGGGACUUAAUGGAGAAAAUGGAAGUCAGAACAAAGUGGAAUGAGGGAGGUAAAGUAUUGAUAAAAAGGGGGGGAGGGAGAAAAAAGACUUGUUAACCUAGAACUCUAUAGCCAGGAAAAUUAUAUUUGCAAAAUGAAGGUAAAUUAAUAGCAUUUUCAGAAAAAAUGCAAAACCUAAGGGUAUUCAUCCCCAUCAGACAGAAGAAAUGUUCAAAGAGGUACUUUAGGCAGAAAGUAAACCAUACCAGAUCAAAAUCUGGAUUUAUACACAGGAAUGAAAUGUAUAGGACAUGGUAUUUAGAAAAAUUUUAAAUUUAAUUGACUGUUUAAAGCAUUGUGGUAUGUCUAAUAUAGAUGAAAAUAAAGUAUGAUAUUAAAAUAUAUAGGAUACGAUUUCCACUGUAAUGUCAUCUUUUCUUUUUCUUUCCAAUUUCAUCUCUAUGAGGAAAUGUAUGCUAAAAAGCUGAAGUCAGGGAGUUCCCACUGUGGCUCAGUAUCCAUGAGGAUGAAGACUGGAUCCCCCACCCUGCUCAGUGGGUUAAGGAUCUGGCGUUGCAAUGAGCUGUGAUAUAGGUCACAGACAUGGCUCAGAUCAGGUAUUGCUGUGACUGGGGUGUAGGCUGGAAGCUGUAGUUCCCAUUUGACCCCUAGCNUGUAGUUCCGAUUUGACCCCUAGCCCAGGAACUUCCAUAUAGGGGGUAUAUGGCCCUUAAAAAAAAAAAA